rnacentral:rRNA from 1 species
AGAAUUUGAUCUUGGUUCAGGAUGAACGCUAGCGGCAGGCUUAACACAUGCAAGUCGAGGGGUAACGCGAGGUAGCAAUACUUUGGCGACGACCGGCGCACGGGUGCGUAACGCGUAUGCAACCUACCUGUAACAGGGGGAUAACGGAGGGAAACUUCCACUAAUACCCCAUAUUGUCAUUCUUUCGCAUGUUGGGAUGACGAAAGCUUCGGUGGUUACGGAUGGGCACGCGUGACAUUAGCUAGUUGGUAAGGUAACGGCUUACCAAGGCGACGAUGUCUAGGGGAGCUGAGAGGCUUAUCCCCCACACUGGUACUGAGACGCGGACCAGACUCCUACGGGAGGCAGCAGUGAGGAAUAUUGGUCAAUGGACGGAAGUCUGAACCAGCCAUGCCGCGUGGAGGAAAAGAAGGUCCUAUGGGUUGUAAACUCCUUUUGUCCGAGAGUAAUAAGCGGGAUGCGUCCCGCGAUGAGAGUAUCGGGCGAAUAAGCAUCGGCUAACUCCGUGCCAGCAGCUGC